rnacentral:sRNA from 1 species
GUAAGAAACAUGUUUUCUUUGUAUUAGAGGAUCUAAUUUUUGGCCUAACUUAGAAUUAGUCUUUCUAUAGUAUUUUGGUUACAUUUAUAGACCUAAUUGGGGUCUAAAUUAGAUUAUCUUUGAUAGGGCUGACGAAAAAACGGACCCGAUAACCAACCUAAUACCCAAACCAAAAAACUGGGUUAGGGCGGGUUAAAAUUUUAGAAAAUUUCCUUAUUAGGUAGAGUUUUAGUAAACCCGUGGAUAUCCGAUUGGUCUGGAAAUUAUCCGUUACCCAAAAAGAAUAUUCAAAAACUCAAACAUUAAUUUAAUAUCCAAAAUAUUAAUUAUAUUUAAUCGUAAUAUUAUCUAAUUAUCUAAGAUUAUA